GCAGGCAUCAGUAUUCAAUUGUCNGAGGCCCCUAGUAAGCGCAAGUCAUCAGCAGGCAUCAGUUUUCAGUUGUNCNAAGNCCNUNGUAANCNNANGUCUNNANCANGCCNNCNANGNCAUCUGUGGUNGGUAGUGNNCUUUUUUGACCCACUCGGCACCUUAGGAGAAAUCAAAGUUUUUGGGUUCUGGGGGGAGUAUGGUCGCAAGGCUGAAACUUAAAGGAAUUGACGGAAGGGCACCACCAGGAGUGGAGCCUGCGGCUUAAUUUGACUCAACACGGGGAAACUCACCAGGUCCAGACACAAUAAGGAUUGACAGAUUGAGAGCUCUUUCUUGAUUUUGUGGGUGGUGGUGCAUGGCCGUUCUUAGUUGGUGGAGUGAUUUGUCUGCUUAAUUGCGAUAACGAACGAGACCUUAACCUACUAAAUAGUACUAUUAGCGUUUGCUGAUUAGUUACUUCUUAGAGGGACUAUCGGUUUCAAGCCGAUGGAAGUUUGAGGCAAUAACAGGUCUGUGAUGCCCUUAGACGUUCUGGGCCGCNCGCGCGGCUACACUGACGGAGCCNAACGAGUACUAUCCUUUGGCCGAGAGGUCCGGGUAAUCUUGUGAAACUCCGUCGUGCUGGGGGAUAGAGCCUUGCAAUUAUUGCUCUUCACCCAGGAAUUCUUAG
rnacentral:rRNA from 1 species